rnacentral:siRNA from 1 species
AAGUGCACGGAUUUCGAGGAAAG